rnacentral:rRNA from 1 species
AUUGAACGCUGGCGGCAUGCCUUACACAUGCAAGUCGAACGGCAGCACGGGUGCUUGCAUCUGGUGGCGAGUGGCGAACGGGUGAGUAAUACAUCGGAACGUACCUUAUCGUGGGGGAUAACGCAGCGAAAGCUGUGCUAAUACCGCAUACGCCCUGAGGGGGAAAGCGGGGGAUCGCAAGACCUCGCGCGAUUAGAGCGGCCGAUGCCUGAUUAGCUUGUUGGUGGGGUAAAAGCCCACCAAGGCGACGAUCAGUAGCUGGUCUAAGAGGACGAUCAGCCACACUGGGACUGAGACACGGCCCAGACUCCUACGGGAGGCAGCAGUGGGGAAUUUUGGACAAUGGGGGCAACCCUGAUCCAGCAAUGCCGCGUGAGUGAAGAAGGCCUUCGGGUUGUAAAGCUCUUUUGUCAGGGAAGAAACACCGGCUCUAACACAGUCCGGGAAUGACGGUACCUGAAGAAUAAGCACCGGCUAACUACGUGCCAGCCGCCGCUGUAA